AAACUUAAAGGAAUUGACGGGGACCCGCACAAGCAGCGGAGCGUGUGGUUUAAUUCGUUGCUACACGAAGAACCUUACCUGGGUUUGACAUAUAGGUUGUAGGGAACUGAAAGGGACCGACCCUUCGGGGAGCCUAUACAGGUGUUGCAUGGCUGUCGUCAGCUCGUGUCGUGAGAUGUUCGGUUAAGUCCGCUAACGAGCGCAACCCUCGUCGUAUGUUAUAUGUGUCAUACGAGACUGCCGGUAAAAGCCGGAGGAAGGUGAGGAUGAUGUCAAGUCAGCAUGACCUUUAUAUCCAGGGCUACACACACGCUACAAUGGUCUGUACAAUGGGUAGCCAAGCCGCGAGGCGGAGCCAAUCCUGAAAGCAGGCCUCAGUUCAGAUUGCAGUCUGCAACUCGACUGCAUGAAGCCGGAGUUGCUAGUAACCGCAGGUCAGCAAUACUGCGGUGAAUACGUUCCCGGGACUU
rnacentral:rRNA from 1 species